AGCAGGCUUGAGCAAGGGCACAUAUCGUUGUGCGCUUGAAGUUCAGCUAUGCACGUCUUUUAUAUAAUCAUUGCGAUGCACAGGCUAGAGAUGUCGACCAUCGAUGUUCGGGAACCACCUUGAAUGGAACUUCACGCCUGACUUGAGUUCUUGAGACAACGAAUGGCGAAUCUUCGGAAGAUCCACGGACUGAAGACCCUGAUCAACUUUGAAGGGUGCAGUGGAGCAGGGUAUCUGCAUACCAUGCUAAAGGGUAGAAGAAAUGGGCGAGGGCUCAACUGGAUGUAGGGCUGCUUGAGGUCAUCUGGCUCUAACGACGUGGUUUCAAGAAGUGAAAUGGAAAGUGUGGCUGUGUGAAGGCAUCAGAACAUGGACCAGGACCAGAGCUAACUUGGACCACCCUAAUGUAAAAGAAAUGGGGUCAGGACCCAAGAGAAUGAAUCAUCUUGAAGGUCACUCGGGCUCAAAGGACUUGGGUCAACCUCAAGAAGUCAACUGGAAAGUGUGGAUGUGUUGAAGCAUCAGAACAAUGCACCAGGACUAGCUUGGAUGGCUACCUUAAUGUCAUUGGCCUAAAUGGUCAUUCUGGUCCCUUAAGGAAGCUACUGAAAAUGUGACCGAACAAUGGAUGAAGCCAUGAUGUGUAAAAAAUCAAUUUUAUUGCACUUGGAAAAUAAAAACCAUAAUGUACAAAAU